ensembl:lncRNA ZRANB2-DT ZRANB2 divergent transcript
AAGAGUAAAGUACUUCCGCUUCCUUAGGUGGAGCUGGAAAGGUGGAGGCGGAAGUGACUGAUCAAUUCAGGGGCGUGGGGUUCGUUUAGGUUUUGCCCUGUGUAUGACCUCGUUUGGAGCCAUGAAACCAGGUGGCUUUUCUACAAUAUAAAGAUGGAAAUGGGAAGAAGAUGUUCAUUGCAAAUUAAGGAAGCUCUUCCACGAGUUCACGAAUGGAAAUAACAUCAAGAGUUUUUCAUCUUCUUAGUGUGCAAGGUAUGGAUAUUCUGUGUGUGAACUUCAAGAGUAUCUAAGGGAGGCAAUAACAUGGUUGAUAAUAUACCAGAGACUACAAACUGUCUGUGCAUCCCAGAGGAACAGGAAGCUUGUGCAGGUGAAAAGACUGGAGGAGGAAGUAUGUUGAUGAUACCCAGGAAGCCCACCUUCCACUUCUUUGGUCAUCAGAAGUAAGAAAAAGGACAAUUAAAUAAGUGGUUAAUAGUUGUUUAGAGAAAGAGAAUUUUCACUUUAUAUGCCAGUCAUUGAUAAUAUUUGCCAUAGUGGUUGCUGUUAAGUAAGUUUCUUCCUGCAGGCCUGUGAGAAGGCAUAGUACAUGAAAGUAGCAGUGCUUUCAACCUGAUUAUUAUUAUACAGUAUGGACUUUUAUUAUAUAACAAGCAAUACUUACAUUUUGUUAUUUACUUAUUUAUUACUAUACACUUACACAUAUGCAGACACAGUAAUAAACAUCUAAGUGGUACAAAUAGGUACAAAACCAAAAAUAAAAGUCUGCCUUCUAACUUCAGUAAGAUGUUUCAGUCUCAUCCUGGGUUCUACUGCCUUUAAUAUGCAAUCAGCCACACUUCCCAAGGGGCUUUAGUCCCUUUUGUUAAAAAAUAGUAAUAAAGAUCAAAUCUAGGGGAUAGAAGUAGAGAUUUUAGUAUUUUAUAUGAGAAUUGGGGAUGCAGCAUGCUAAUGAAGCCACCUGAGUUACAGGGCAGACUAUUACUUUUCUUUUUAAAUAACAGGUAACAAUUCUAUAUUGUUAUUUUCAAUUUAACCAAGUUUUUAUUUUAGCACUGAGAGUUUUUAAUCUGAUUUCUCCUUCCUCUGGUAGAUUUGAGGUUAUUUAUUGUCACACCAAAUAGCAUUUUGUCUCCUAUAUUUAGAAGUCUUUUGUUUUUUUUUUUUUUUUUGAGAUGGACUUUUGCUCUUGUUGCCCAGGCUGGAGUACAAUGGCACGAUUUCGGCUCACCACAACCUCCGCCUCCUGGGUUCAAGUGAUUCUCUUGCCUCAGCCUCCUGAGUAGCUUGGAUUACAGGCAUGUGCCACCAUGCCUGGCUAAUUUUGUAUUUUUAGUAGUGACGGGGUUUCUCCAUGUUGGUCAGGCUGGUCUCGGACUCCCGACCUCAGGUGAUCCACCUGCCUCAGCCUCCCAAAAUGCUAGGAUAGAAGUCUUUUCUUACUCUAUUUUUGUCCCUUGCCUCAAGUACCCUAGAAGUGACUACCUACACAACUCCCCUUAUCAGCAUUUUAGAGGAAAGACUAUCUGAAAAGUAAAAUAAAUUCUAUCUUUUCUCACAGAAUUAUAAAGAAUAUACAGGCAAAAGACACCUAAUAUUUCAUAUGGAAUGAUAAACAAUUUGAAGAAAAAAAGGACAAAUCUUUGAGAUUUAGCCUAAAACUAUUUUUUAACUUUGAAUUUCCAUGGACAUUUGUCAACAUUUAUCUUUUAUUUCCAGUAACAUUGGUAUUAAAUUACAGUGAAUAUAUACAAAUAUUUAUUAGCUCAAUAUUAUUUUAUUAGUCCAAUUUUUCAAUUAGAGUCAGAUAAAACUCUAAAUAAAGGUCAAAAAUCAUCAGAAUAUUUUGUAACCCCCAAAUUCAGGUAGAAAAAAUUUCUGUAUAUUAUAUUGUCCCAUUCUACAAGACUCAACUCACAGUAGAUUAUAGCACAUUGGAAUAUAACAUAUUUCAUAUUAAAUAUUAUAUUUAAUCUACAUUUAAAUAUUCUGAAACCUCCCUACUAAUAAUUAUAGAAUUUUUCUGUUUAUUCCUAAUGCUUUUCAUGUUCACAUAAGCCAAAAUCAGAAAAUUCAUCAAGUUUUACCAAUAGAAAUUUUCACCUUUUAUGCGAACACAUGUAUUUGCCUAGAUCAAGGCAUCAUAUGCCUACACUUCCAAAGUUAAUUUGUAUUACCUGCAUAAUCCCCCUAAAAUAAAACCCCAAUUAUUUUAUUCUUAUAAUUUGGUAAAUUGAGCCUCAAAAGCUCCAUUCAUUUAGAAUAUGCAUUUUCCAAAAUCUUGACAGGCCAACCAGGCAAGAUUUGUUGAAAUCUUGACAGGCUGAUUUUGACAAUAAUAAAAAAUUUGUUCUUAAAAUUCUGUGUUGAAUUUUAAGCACCUCUCUAUCACAGGGAUAAUAACUUAAAUGCUUCAGAUUAUCUGUUAGAGACCCUAUAAAACAAUAAUCUCUUUUUUUAUGUGUCCAAUUAACAUCAGAAUCCAUUUAGGGAACAUGCUUCUCUUUGAGGGUCUUGUGAGGCCCUACACCCAGUUUAUUCAAAUGUCACUGCUACAAAGGCGCUGGCCUUACCUUCAGUCUUCUGGGGCAAGGCCUGGCUGCAGACUCAGGACAGCCUGCUUUAUUCUGUUGUACCAGUUCUCCCUGUUGCCCUGCUUGUUCCUUUCCCACAUUUCUGAUGCUAGAUUUCCUAAUAUUGUACUAACUUUGAUCCAGCUUUUUAACUCCUUUUUAUGUUUUCACUCUGCUCAAUAUUAUCCAUUUAACAACACCUCCUAUUCCGUCUACGUAGAAAACUGUUUAUACAGAGAGUAUCUGAAAAGUUGAUAUCUGUAAGUUUAUUUCCAGAAUGACACAUGGUUCCUAAUGAUAUGGAAUUGUAAUGUUGUCAACAUAAUUCAUCCAAAGAGGAUAUAUAAUUUAUUAUCCCAGGCAUAAUUUUGUUUAGAGGAGAUGACUCUUGGAUUGGGCCCACCUGAGUUUAGGAAAAGACUGGCACUGCACUUGUUUCCUCUAUAUCUAUUAAUCUUGGAGAAUUAAGUUUCCUUUAUCUUUUUAUUCAUUUUUAUAGGUAAUUUAGAUGUCAGUGCGAGGCUGCUAUUUCUUAAUAAGAAAGGAAUGGAUGUUUAUCCCUUCAAUAGAAAGUGAAAGAAUGUUUAUGGCAGAGGUUGGGCAAACUAUAACCAGUGGCCCAAAUUCUGCCUUCAGUCUGUUUUUGUGUGGCCUGUGAGCUAAGGAUUUUCUUAAAAUAUAUUUUAAAGAGUUGUAAACACACACACACACAUAAAACAGGGACUGUAUUUGACCUGUGAAGUGCAGAAUAUUUAAAGAAAAUGUUGCAGACCCCUGUCUUAAUAUAACUAUCAUAAAACGAUCAUUUAAAACAUUUUUUAUAUGACAAGUACAUGGGAUUUUGUAUAUGUUAGCUCAUUGAAAUCUUAUAAGAAUCUUAAGUGUAUUAAGAGUUGAAGUAUUCUCCUCAUUUUGGAGAUGAUAAAACUGAGAUGUGAGAGGUUAAUAUCACAUACUUUCUAAAUGCCAGAGAGAAGAUUUACACUAAGACAGUUGGGAACUGGAGCUGGUACUUAUAGCUACCAUAUUAUACUGCAUCUGAAUGUGACCUGACAGUUGUUUGUUUGAGUCUAUCCCACUCCUCAUACUAAUCUGCAAGCAGUCCAAACAGAAUAAUAAUGAGAUUGGCAAGAUACUGCUCAUACACAAAGCAAAGAGUAUACAAGAUUCUUUAAGCAUAUAAAGGGAACCAUGACUGUGCACAAGCUGGCUAUAUACUGCAGCAAACACAGCAACACUACCAGUUAGAUGAGUAAGACACUCUUGCUCUCAAAUUCUCAUGAAGUUCCCUGACUUCCAGUAAUACUACUUGCUCAGGGUGAUGACUCUUCAGGGUACUAUCCUUGAUAGUCUCAGAGGAUUCAUACCUUGUUGGUCCCUCAUGACUUCUCUCUCUAGAGAUUUGCGCUAUGUGCCUGACUGCUUCACAUUUGACAUUACUGUACUUGGUAACACUCUCAAAGUAUUUAUCAGUACUAUGAAAAGACUGAGGAUAUUACAUGUAAAUUCUAGGCCUGUCACCCUUUUGGCAGAUUUGGGCCUCCAGGCCUACUGAAGGCAUAUUCCUGGAAUAGCCAGAUUGCUGUGCUUUCUUCUCUCAGUAUUGGUCUCUGUGCCUAUCAUUUCCAUCAGAGGUUUUGGUCUGUUACGAAAGGAGUUCCUGUCUCUGUUGUAAUUUUCUCCUGCACAUAUCCUGAGUUCUAGAUUCUUCCAUUAUGAUUUCUUUAUUAAUCUGAUUUUACUUCCCUUGGUUUUGCAGCUGUCUGUUAAACUCUUUAACUUGUCAUUGUACUCUAUGUCUUUAUAAGUUUAUUCAUAAUAUAAUUUUAUAGUGUUAUUUCAAGGACACUUUUGGAAGGAAAAGAGAGAUAAACAUAUGUACCAGAUCUAUCAUUCUGAAGUAGAAGCUAUCAAACUUUAUGUGACGAGAAAAUGCAUUUGGGUAUAUACUGAUAGGUUUCCUAUCACUUCAUGCUUUAUUGCAUUUCUUCUCCCAUGUUUUUGAAGCUUUCUAAUCAACUGUGGAAUGAUG